rnacentral:tRNA from 1 species
GUAGCGCAGCUUGGUAGCGCACUUCGUUCGGGACGAAGGGGCCGCAGGUUCGAAUCCUGUC